rnacentral:misc_RNA from 1 species
GAUGAAGAACGCAGCGAAAUGCGAUACGUAAUGUGAAUUGCAGAAUUCAGUGAAUCAUCGAAUCUUUGAACGCAUAUUGCGCUCUCUGGUAUUCCGGAGAGCAUGCUUGUUUGAGUAUCAGUAAACACCUCAACUUCCAUAUCUUUUUUGAAAUGGGAGUUGGACUUGAGUGAUCCCAACGCUUUUCCUCACCGAAAAGUGGCGGGUUACUUGAAAUGCAGGUGCAGCUGGACUUUUCUCUGAGCUUAUAAGCAUAUCUAUUUAGUCUGCCUAAAAAACAGAUUAUUACCUUUGCUGCAGCUAACAUAAAGGAGAUUAGUUCUUGUGCUGACUGAUGCAGGAUUCACAAAGACAGGCUUCGGCCGACUUUGUAAACUCGAUCUCAAAUCAAGUAAGACUACCCGCUGAACUUAAGCAUAUCAAUAAGCGAGGA